rnacentral:rRNA from 1 species
AUGGCCCACAACGAUGAGGCCGGCGGUUCGGGCAAGCAAUUCUGGGAGCUGUCCCAGGAGAUGGAGGAAGAACCUCACCGCUAUGAGGACGCCGCGGAAGACACCGAUCCCGACUACACAACCCCUAGUGGCGUCAGGGAUGACACUACUGAUGGUGCCGCCGAGGAUGCCACCACUGAUGAUGGCAGCGCACGCACAGAUGGCAGCCAACCGAAGAGGCAACGGAAGGACCGGCGCCCGAACGUGCUCGGCACCGUCAAGGAGGAAUUUACUGAAGUGUCCUCCGGUGGGCAUCCAAUGGCGCCCAAAGAAUUUGUCAAGGGGUACGCGGGACAGCUCGGGUGCAUUCUCCGGAGCACCGUCUCGAUCAACACCGAGAACCUAAGGCAUCGUGACCGAGGGAAUUUGCGCAACCUCCUCUUAACGAAGCUGCACGAACGAUACAAGUUCCCCGGUGACUUCGCAAACACACGCCUCUCAGGGAAUAAAGUCAACAGUGCCGCCCUCACGAAGAUGAGCACGGCCCUGGCUACUUGGAGAGCCGCGGUGAAGAGAAGGAUUGAAAAAGGUGAUAGUUAUGACAAGAUCAAGGAGGCAAAUCCUUCGAUCAGCGAAGCUGACUACCUGGAGUUCAAGAUCAAGUGCGAGAGCAACGCAACCGCGGAAUCAAGUCAGUGUGGGAAAGAUAUGCGGGACAUGAACUUAGGGGUCCACAAACUCGGUCCCGGCGGUUACAGAGUGGUGGAACCUAUAUGGGACAAGGAGGACGCGGAGCGUGCCGAGCAAGGCCUACCGCCCCUCUUCGAUAAAUACCGUGACAAGCAGACCAAGAACUAUGUCAGGGCCCGGUACAAGAUUGACCCGGUAACCAAGGAGCUUACCACGGAUCCGAAGACCAAGGCGCUUGAGCUUGUUUUGGACACUGAAAGCAGUAACGCGGGGUCGUCUAAGAGCUCCCCUUGGGACACCACUUUAAAAGGGCGUUGA